rnacentral:lncRNA from 13 species
CAAAAUUUCUACUGGGAAGUGGUUUAAACUCUGACAUGAUUUUCAUCUUAUUUGUAACACAAAAGGUGAUGCUGGAAUUCCACUCUAGAUCUACCUCCUCAGUUAAAAGGGCAGAACAGGCUGGGCACGGUGGCUCAAGCCUGUAAUCACAGAACUCUGGGAGGCGGAGGGUCUCACUUUGUUACUCAGGCUGAAGUGUGGUGACAUGAUCUCAGCUCACUGAAACCUCUGCCUCUGGUGCUCAAGUGAUUCUUCCAACUCAGCCUCCUAAGUAAGUGGGACUACAGGCAAGCGCCACCCAACCAGCUGCUGAUCGAGUGAAUUUCUUUUCCUGUUACGUACUUAUGGAAAUAAUGAAGAUGUCUUGAAGCAUGAGUACUUUUUGCUCAUAUGAGACAACUAGGAUAAGAUUCACUCCAGAACUCCUGAUGAUUUUUCUCUCCUUCAAAUCAGCAAGCAGUGCAGGCUUCUCAAGGGGAAGUAUGGGAAACAGAGAUAGCAGGGAGCCAGCGUCUGCUGAGGUGGAAUGACAGCUGGGGGCAAGGAAGCACCGGCUCUCUUCACUUUAAGGAGGGGCUGACCUAGGAAAAGGGCUUUCCCACAACUUGACCAGAAAAGUUCAUACAAAGGCAAGCCUAUCAGACUUACAGCAGAUCUCUCAGCAGAAACUCUACAAGCCAGAAGAGAGUGGGGGCCAAUAUUCAACAUCCUCAAAGAACAGAACCUUCAGCCCAGAAUUUCAUAUCCAGCCAAACUAAGCUUCACAACUGAAGGAAAAAUAAAAUCUUUUAUGAACAAGCA